rnacentral:rRNA from 1 species
AUUGAACGCUGGCGGCAGGCCUAACACAUGCAAGUCGAGCGGAUGAGUGGAGCUUGCUCCAUGAUUCAGCGGCGGACGGGUGAGUAAUGCCUAGGAAUCUGCCUGGUAGUGGGGGACAACGUUUCGAAAGGAACGCUAAUACCGCAUACGUCCUACGGGAGAAAGCAGGGGACCUUCGGGCCUUGCGCUAUCAGAUGAGCCUAGGUCGGAUUAGCUAGUUGGUGAGGUAAAGGCUCCCCAAGGCGACGAUCCGUAACUGGUCUGAGAGGAUGAUCAGUCACACUGGAACUGAGACACGGUCCAGACUCCUACGGGAGUCAGCAGUGGGGAAUAUUGGACAAUGGGCGAAAGCCUGAUCCAGCCAUGCCGCGUGUGUGAAGAAGGUCUUCGGAUUGUAAAGCACUUUAAGUUGGGAGGAAGGGCAGUAAGUUAAUACCUUGCUGUUUUGACGUUACCGACAGAAUAAGCACCGGCUAACUUCGUGCCAGCCGCCGCGGUAACAC